rnacentral:lncRNA from 1 species
AUUUCUUCCUCCCUCCAGCGCCUGGCAACCACCAUUCUGCUUUCUCCGCCUCUCUCUCUCUCUCUCUCUCUCUCUCUCUCUCUCUCUCUCUUUCUCUCUCUUUUUUUUUUAGCUGCUUGGCAAAUAAGUUUAUUAUUGUCUUUAUCUGAAAACUCUUCAUAGAAAAUUGUGUUUGGUUUAUUAGCUCUCAGCAGCCCGCUCCUGGGCUCGAAGGAAGCUUGCCUUCUUCUGAGCCACCGGAUCUUUCUUCUGGGCAAGAGACGUCUUAGGACGGUUCCACCUCUUCUUUUUAACUUCUUUCUUAGGCUUCUUCUCAUAGACUGGAUUCUCUCGUAUGGCACCUCCUCCAUCAUGUCUGGGUAACGGUCUUUAUGUAUUGAGAGAACUGUUUCCUGUAAGCAUCUUCAUCCUCUCCCAUUAGACUAUAAAGCGAUUGGCAAAAUAGGAGAGGGAACAUUUUCCAAAAUUAUGAAGAUGCAGAGCCUGAGAGACAGAAGCUACGACGCUUGUAAGCAAAUGAAACAGCACUUUGAAAGCAGGAGGCACACUGACUCUGGGCUCGAGGUCGCUGUUAUUCUGAUGAGGACUCUGUAGUUCCCGCUGUUUGACGUACGGAAUCCGUGACAGGGCCUCCAGCUGGUUUGACAGGUACCGGCCAGCCUGUGUCAUCCAGACCGGAGAGGAACUGGACUUCGGGUUUAUUCAUGUCACGCUGCGCCCAUCGGACAAGCGAAAACAGAUCUGCCUCGUGGCGUGCGGGUGACUGUUUAUGGCUUGAAAGAAGACUUUAAAACCUGCUGUGUUACCGUAAACAAUUCAGGCCGAACCAAAGGUGGUGUGGGAAAUGGUAGGGAGCGUUUGUGGGCUGAAGAAGCUGUUUUCGUGAUGAGGAUGACCCUGGUGCGGGGCCGGGGCGGCCGCUGGUCUCAACGCGGAUCUUAUCUGUGACCUGAAAUGUGCAUCUUAGUAACUUAUGAUAAAAUAAAUAGUAUAAACAGGCAAGUUUUCUACACCCACAGAAGUUGAUGGCAAACUUGUGGAUCUUUUCGAGAAAUUAGGAGACGGCCUUUUAUAUGGGAACAUAUGGUGUUUCCUACGUUACAAGCCUGUGUGCUUUGUUCAGAGGAAAGCCCGUCGCUC